CAUGUGCAUGUGUUACACCUUUUAGUCCUGAAAAACUUCAUUGCAACUUCAUAUACUGUCCUACUUUUUCUAUAUUGAUUUAGUCUUCCACGUUGUUAUUUUAAGAGUGCACGUUUUUAAUUUUCGAUAAUGAACAGAAAGAUGUUUCUCUCCAGUUCUACUCUCAGACGAAGGGCUCGUGCAAAUGUAGACAGACUGCUCAGAAGAGUGACUGAAGAAAAUGAAAUGCAGGUGGAUGAUAUCAGUGACACUCCCCCACCUGUUCUGAAUGCAACGAAGGGCUCGUGGAAUUCCCGUUGGAUUGCUCUCGCAGUUUCCCUUGGAUUAUAUGCAUUUAGUGUGUUUGGGGGUUGUUAGGCGCUUGAGAAAUAUUUGGACAAAAGGACCACUCAAGUGCCGUCUGCCUGCCUGCCUUGUUGAAAGACUGUCCACUAGUUUGACAGAUAUGCGUGCCUACAUACCAGCAGAAUUUGCAAGGAAACCUCGCUACGUGAAGCUGAUCACUGGAAGGCUACGGAAUUUCGACAGUUUCUUUUAGUAUACAAUGUUUAUGAGCAUUGUAUACUAAAAGAUCUUGCCCAUAUAUUUCGCCAGAGUGCUUAACAAACAUUUUUAGUAAUGUUUGGGCAUAGUCACAGUAGGUGAAAGAAAGUCUUGGACUGAUCAAAAUAGCAAUACCAGCAAAGAGCAGCAUAACAUUGUUAUAUAUAGCAGUAUCCAAAAUGGAAGCUAAAACAACAGGUCCAGUGUAUAAAAGCUUAAAAUGAAUGUGUAGGUCUAAUCUUCUUUAUUUGUGUUAGAUUUAGAUAUGUAUCUUAUAGUUGAAUUUGUGACCAAUAAAACUAUCCACAUGGUGCCCACAACGUGGUAUAAGGAUGGAAUAGCCUGGUGGCCAAACUCCACCGAUGAGGAGAGAAUUGACAGAGCAGUCAAGAACAGAGAAGAUCCUGGCCAGGGCUGGACCAAACAUGAGCUCAGGAUUUUCACACAAACACGCCAUUUGUGUUUUUUUUUUUUUUUCAUAAAGAAGUUACCAAAUAUUGUGGAUAUGUAUACAUGUAUAUUCAAUAUUGCAACUGAAUAAUAGAUGCCUUUAAUCAGAGUAGGCAAAGUUACUAUCCAAAGGAGGAAAGUGUCAGUUAUAUAGGUCUAGUUUGAACCCUUGGCAAAAAGUUAGGUCAGGAACCUUAUUUUAUAAACAAAAGAUCAUUUUAAUUUUUUUUCCAGAUGAUUACCUGCAGGCAAGACAGAAGUUAAGACUCCUUAACUUGCUCAACAUCAGAUUUGGAGUCAGAAAAGGAAGACGAUGUGACAAAGCCAAAGAGACAAAGGACGGCCAGAAUUUGGUUUGGCGACACUGAUAGCGACAGCGAUGAUAGUGCGUCAAAAAGGGUUCAAGAAAGACAAUAAAAAGCUCCCUGCCAGCUGCAGCAGCAGUACCUCGCCUACCUUCAACUUCACCUGCUACACAAAGACCUCAAGUAAGUGCAUCACCUAGCCAGCCUCCAGACGAGUGUGUUGAAGACUUCAUUCAGUCGCCUUCAAUGAUGGCACAGACACCAAGGAGAGUCACUGCUGUACCCACUAGACUGGAUUUCACUCGACCAUCAAGAAGUGAAAUGCUCACUUUCACUCCCACUGGUAGAGUUGGGAGGACUGGAACUGCAUCAAUUCCCUGCACUGAAAAAGAACAACAGAAAUCCCAGCAAUAACAAUCUGUUUCUCCAGGUAUGCUGUGGAAGCCGAACUAAACAACUAAAAAAGAACAGAGCAAAAGACAUUCUUCUACCCAUUGACUUUACAUUUCUUGCACAUAAAUGAAAAAUCAUGUGAUAACUCUUCAGCAGAGUACAGAGUGCAUUCAGUGUGUGCCCAUCUGUUGAUAACUCUUCAGCAGAGUACAGAGUGCAUUCAGUGUGUGCCCGUCUGUUGAUAACUCUUCAGCAGAGUACAGAGUGCAUUCAGUGUGUGCCCAUCUGUUGAUAACUCUUCAGCAGAGUACGGAGUGCAUUCAGUGUGUGCCCAU